CGCUGCUUCUCUUAUGACUCUUUCCUCCACAAAAAAAAGCAGAUGACAGCCCUGCAGAGACAAGUUCAAAUAAUGAUUUGUCCAUUCCUCUCACUAGGCAGACCGCAGAGAUGUUUUAUGCUUUCAAAAGUUGGUCUUGCAAUGUAAUGUCAGUGAAACUAUCAGAGCAAGGCGSACCAAAUGGAAAAGCAAAUGGUCAUUUACGUGCAUUUUUCACAGCCUUCUUAAAAGAUCACAGUCAAGUCAUGGUGGCCUAAGAAGGUCUUGUCUAACAGCUAACAAUAAUUGACCUUGUAGAUGAUCACAGCUCACACUGAUUACAGGAUUCGYCACUUACCUGGAAGGUGGAAACAUAGGGACACAUGAACAAUCAGGCUGGAUAAGGUGCUGCAGCUACCAGACAGCGUAAGCCUGGGGAUCUUCUGCAGGCCUCAAGCCAUGCUUGUGUUUUGCAAAACAAAAGAGCUCAGAAGCUCUUGCUUCUGUCACUCRUUAUUGGGGGAGCAGUUUUGCUUUUUCUUUCCCUGAAAAAAAAAAGAAUUAACACUAAAAUUUACCCAGGGCUGUACUUUAGCAUUGAUUCUUYACUGUCUACCACUUUUCCUAGCCAUUUAAAACUCUGCAAGGGAGCAUUAAAACACCUUUGGGUUGACAGGCUUUCACACGGCUUGCCUCUUUUACAUUGGACUGCAGGCUCCGAAAUGACUGUUCUGUUGGCACCCAUGAAAUCGCUGGAAAUUUCAAAGCUGGCAGCUCCGAGCAGAAACCUGGAGAGAAAARAAGAGGAGAUCUUCCCCGACAAACAAGUAACUCCAAAAAAGAGCUAGGCUGGAGACGCUAUGGACAAGGGAGAAGCGAGGCAGUGUAUUACCUUGAAUUAGAUUCAAAGAAGGUUGCUGAUCCGUUUCUCCAGCCUACUCCAGAAUGAGCUGAAAUCCAGUCCCACACCAGACUCAAAAUACCCGGGUAAAAAUGGAGCUUGUCCCGGUUAACAGCAAUGAACUGAAGAACAGAAUCAGGUUCUGCAUGAAUGUGACUCUGUCCUUUCUCAGUAAUAUAAAGAAGGCAAUUUCAAAGUAUUAAACUAUCAAACAAUUUAUAGCAUCAUGCCAAUUUAUGUGAGAUGGGGAUCUGGCUCUUAAAAUCAUUCUGGCUUGCACGCAAUAAAAUCACACAGUACAUCCA
rnacentral:lncRNA from 1 species